CCCUUCCGUCUCCCUCUCUCUCGUUCCUUUUCUCACGCACAGAUGCAUCCCCUUUCUCCACCCCACGGCCACCCGAUUCCGGCAACCCCUGCCGUUCCCCGCCGCAUUCCCGACCUCGCCUCUGCCCGCUCUAUCAUCUGCACCGCCUGGAUUCUCUCCUCGCCUUCACCCACCCGCAGCUGGGCUAACUAACCCUAGCCGAGAUCGAGCAAGCGAGAGAGAGAGGGCUUCGGUGCGCCGCCGCCGCUGCCUUACGCGCGCCUCCUGGCCGUCGCCUUGUGCACGGAUGCGGCUUGGUUGCUUCCUUCGCGAACCCUCUCUUCGUCCGUCCGUCUUCGUGCGGCGGCAGGCGGCGCAUCCACCAGAUCCGCCGGGCGUGGCUCCCAGCUGGCCGCCACCAAGCAAGGGCUCCCGGAGCUGGCGUGGAUGACGGCGGCCGUGCUCGAGGUGGACGCCCAUGGCAUCCACUCUCGCGCACGCACCGGGAGAGGGAGAGGAUGAGGAGGAGCAGGGUGCCUGUUUGCUUGCUGCAAGUCUGCCAUUCAGGGCCAACAUGGAGCUCUGUGGUGGGUACAAGUCAACAUAUAUAGGCAUUGUUCAAAUUUGCCGAUUAAUUUAUUCACCAUCAGGGGAGUUUCUGCUCCGCUCACGGCAAAUUUGACCAUUUUGACCUAUGGACGAAAUCAAUUCACGGAAUGAACUGACCGUGAAACUAUUUCACAGCCCUAACCUUUUUGUGUAGCGCCCGCGACGACGGCGCCACAUCCUACUGUGCAGCGCCUAGCGAGGGGGCGUUGCACACCAGUCCACCGUGGCAGCCCCUGGGCCCGCACCCAGCAGUGCAACGCCUUCGCGCUAGGCGCCACACAUGUAAUGUGCAGCGCCUAGAGCUCGGGCGCCACACUUGUAAAGUGCAGCGCCUAGCGCUUAGGCGCUGCACUGUGACUUAUCCAGCCACUCGGCUGGACCCCCCCCCUCCCCCACCCCACACCACACACUCUCCCACUCUCCUCCCCGAGCUUUGCCCCCUCUCCCACUCUCUCCCCCUCUCAAAUCCUCUCCCAAAUCUUGUAAAUUUGAAGAAUUUGUCCGUGGAUUUCGAAGUCAAACCCUCCCUCAAGGUAUGGCGGCAUCCCAACCCAACAAACCAACGAUGAAGGAGGAUGGCGAAGAUGAGAUGGCGGGAUGGUGGGAGAAGGCUGCGAAGAAGCUUAGAGAUGAGGAUGCAGCCAAGCUAAAGAAGAAGGAAGAGGAGCUUGAGAAGGAGAUGAAGAGGGAAGAGAGAGCGUCAAUGGCGAUGCGCGCUAGGGAGGCAGCGUUGGUGAGGAAAUGUGAGGAGGCACUGAAGAAGCGUCUAAAGGAUUUUCAAGAAAGAACCAUGAAGCUUUGGGCAAUUGCAGCUGAAAAAGAAGAGAGGGACAAUCAGAUAUUCAUGGAAAGGGUGGUUAAGGAGGCUCACCUCAUAAGAAAAAGGAAGGAGGAAGAGGAAGAAGAGAGGAAGAAGAAGAAGGGAAAGGGGCCUUGCUCUACGCAAUAAAGCUACUAUGUCUCCUCUUCGAUUUGGUUGUGAACUACUAUGUGUCGUGAACUACUAUGUCUCCUCCUCGAUUUGGUUGUGAACUACUAUGUGUCGUGAACUACUAUGUCUCCUCGAUUUGGUUGUAAUAACUACUAUGUGUCGUGAACUACUACGUCUCCUCCUCGAUUUGGUUGUAAGAACUAUUAUGUGUCGUGAAGUACUAUGUGUUAUGAACUAUGCGUCAUGCAUAUAUUCUCUUCACCGUUGUUAGAUUGCUAUGUAUCAA